rnacentral:piRNA from 1 species
UAAGAUGACAAAAGACAUUGCUUCUGC